UACAGAGACCUCAAGCGUUAUCCGGAUUUAUUGGGCGUAAAGCGUCCGCAGGUGGUUUCUUAAGUCAUCGGUCAAAUCCUGGGGCUCAACCCCAGACCUGCCGAUGAUACUGGGAAACUUGAGGCCAGUAGAGGCAAGCGGAAUUACAGGUGUAGCGGUAAAAUGCGUUUAUAUCUGUAAGAACACCAAAGGCGAAAGCAGCUUGCUGGAAUGGUCCUGACACUCAUGGACGAAAGCGUGGGGAGCGAAAAGG
rnacentral:rRNA from 1 species